AUUGAACGCUGGCGGCAUGCUUUACACAUGCAAGUCGAACGGCAGCGCGGGCUUCGGCCUGGCGGCGAGUGGCGAACGGGUGAGUAAUGCAUCGGAACGUGCCCAGUAGUGGGGGAUAGCCCGGCGAAAGCCGGAUUAAUACCGCAUACGACCUGAGGGUGAAAGCGGGGGACCGAAAGGCCUCGCGCUAUUGGAGCGGCCGAUGUCGGAUUAGCUAGUGGGUGGGGUAAAGGCUUACCAAGGCGACGAUCCGUAGCUGGUCUGAGAGGACGACCAGCCACACUGGGACUGAGACACGGCCCAGACUCCUACGGGAGGCAGCAGUGGGGAAUUUUGGACAAUGGGGGCAACCCUGAUCCAGCCAUGCCGCGUGCGGGAAGAAGGCCUUCGGGUUGUAAACCGCUUUUGUUCGGGAAGAAAUCCUCUGGGCUAAUACCCCGGGGGGAUGACGGUACCGGAAGAAUAAGCACCGGCUAACUACGUG
rnacentral:rRNA from 1 species